ACCCCUCUCCGGGCUCCGCCUCCUCCGCGUCUUCGUCGCCCUGCGGCCGCCGGCGGCCCGUCACCCUCGGACCGAUCGCUAGGCCCCCUUCCCUGGCUGGCGUGCUGCUGGGCCCCGCGCGGUUCCCGGUUCGUUGGCGGCGGCAGUGGCCGCUCUGCCCGCCCCGCACCGGCUCUGCUGGUGACGCUGCAGCCGCCGGGCCCAGAGGUUCCGGACCGGCCUCAAGUCACUUCCGGGGCGGGGCGGGGCGGAGCGACGACGUCGGGGGAGGCGGUGGUGGCGGCAGCUGGAGCCCAGCGGGCUGCGCCUUCCUCGCCGUGGGCCUGGCUCGGAGCCCCCACCCCGGGCCUCACCGGCCCAGCGCGAGGCUGCCUCACCGGAAACACGAGGCCGAAUUCCAAGCUAUUGUCCUGCUUCUCCAGGGGUCGCGCACUCCUGGCAGCAGCCCACCGGAGCCCCAGUCGCCACGACAGGCGGCAGCCAGACUCAGCCUGCCUGCACCCAGGUGAAAUAAACAGCCAUGUUGCUCACACAAAGCCUGUUUGGUGGUCUCUUCCCACGGACACAUGAGACAAUGAGGAGAUAUGAGGUCUCGCUAUUCUACCUAGGUUGUUCUAGAACUCCUAAAGUCAAGCUAUCCUCCUGCCACGGCCUCCCAUGCUGUUGGGAUUACAGCUAUAAAUUCAUACAAUUAUCAGAAUUUGUUUUUGGCCAAGUCAUAAUUGUGAGUGAAGAACCAUGGAAGGAGAACAUUUUUUGCUCAUCAACUACUUUCAUUAAAUCAACAAUUUGCUUAAAGAAUAAUGUUUCUUCAGUCUCUAAGGACUCAGCUCCUUACAUGAGCUUUGGUGGAGGUAAUGAGGCAGCACCUGCAGGUCUAAAUCAAGGUGGGAAUGUUCAGCCCUCGUGGGCUUCACGAGAUUGAUUCCUGACUACCUUGCUGUGAAUGGCACAACUCACACCAUAAUGCAGCUUCAUAUACAGCUUGGGAAGCACAUAGGCAUCAAAGAUACUCUUUAGAAAUGUCCCUAACAGCUGCAGCCUUUGCUGUGUUUUGAAUGCUGAACCUAAUAGCCUUAUCCGUAGGCUGCACAUGGCUGUGACCAUUUGUGGCAACACCAUUGUUUCUUCUUUUCUUUGUCAUCUUGGAAGCAAGGACCCUAAAAACAAUAUUUUUAUUGUUUUGUUCUCUGCCUGACACAUCUCUGUGGUAUUUUUUCUCCUGCUUUUUAGGAUGCAGUUUCUUUGAUGUCCUGUUCAUGAGACAAUGCUUUUGUAUUAGCAUUACAGAGAUCCUGUAAUCUUAUAGAAAGAAUCCAAUGUUGCA
rnacentral:sRNA from 1 species